GUUUUUAUAGUGUAAAAAACACCUUACAUUUUCAUUGUAAAACUGAAAUUUUAAUUUCUAAAAACU
rnacentral:tRNA from 1 species